rnacentral:rRNA from 1 species
UUGAUCAAAAUUACACAUGCAAGCAUCCGCAUCCCAGUGAGAAUGCCCUUAUUAAGCACCAAGGAGCAGGUAUCAGGCACAACUAUUUAGCCCAAAACACCUUGCUACGCCACACCCACACGGGCACCCAGCAGUGAUAAACAUUAAGCAAUGAGUGAUAGCUAACCUAAGCUCGACUUAGUUAUGAUCAUUAGGGCCGGUAAACCUCGUGCCAGCCACCGCGGUUAUACGAGGGGCCCAAAACAAUAGAUAUCGGCGUAAAUUGUGGCUAGAGCGCCUCUUACAACACUGAAAGACAAACGAAAGCCUAAUCGUAAAACCUAGGCCAAAAGAAACACAAACUUUCAGCUAUAAAGUAACUUGAACCCACGAAGACUAAGAAACAAACUAGGAUUAGAUACCCUACUAUGCUUAGUUGUUAAUAUGACAUCAGAAAACACUACUGUCCGCCAGAGAAUUACACGCGAAAAGCUUAAAACUCAAAGGACUUGGCGGUGCUCCGUAUUCGUCUUAGAGGAGCCUGUCCUAUAAUCGAUAACCCACGCUUUACCUUACCAUCUUUUGUUAAACAGCCUAUAUACCGCCGUCGCAAACUUACCCCAUGAGGGCACAACAGUAAGUAAAAUAGUAAUACACUAACACGUCAGGUCAAGGUGUAGCUAAUAAGAUGGAAGAGAUGGGCUACAUUUUCUAAAACAGAACACACGGCAAAGAACAUUGAAAUAUGUCCUUAAAGGUGGAUUUAAUAGUAAGAUAGAAUAGAAAGC